rnacentral:rRNA from 1 species
CCUACGGGUGGCAGCAGUGGGGAAUAUUGGACAAUGGGGGGAACCCUGAUCCAGCGACGCCGCGUGAGUGAAGAAGUAUUUCGGUAUGUAAAGCUCUAUCAGCAGGGAAGAAAAAAAUGACGGUAGAUGACGAAGAAGCCCCGGCUAACUACGUACCAGCAGCCGGGGUAAUACGUAGGGGGUAAGCGUUAGCCGGAUUUACGGGGUGUAAAGGGAGCGUAGACGGCGAUGCAAGUCUGAAGUGAAAGCCGGGGGCCCAACCCCUGGACUGCUUUUGAAACUGUAUGGCUGGAGUGCAGGAGAGGUAAGUGGAAUUCCUAGUGUAGCGGUGAAAUGCGUAGAUAUUAGGAGGAACACUAGUGGCGAAGGCGGCUUACUGGACUGUAACUGACGUUGAGGCUCGAAGGCGUGGGGAGCAAACAGGAUUAGAUACCCCAGUAGUC